rnacentral:lncRNA from 1 species
AACUUGGCUAAUUCUCAAAAUAAAAAAGAUUCAUUAUUUUAACAAAUCCCUUGGUAUGAAAAGGCUGCCCUUCCUUCUAAGAAGUAAGUGAUAUGUUAGCCAAAGUUUUUCUAAUAAAGCAGAUAGAUACUUAAAAUAAUUGGGUUUAAGACAUAUACUAUUAAACUUUCCAUUCUUAUUAUUUUUAUAACUAAGCACACACACAUACACAACAAAUCCUAGCACUUAAUAUGUGCAAAAUUGCUUACCAUUUAUUUUCAUUUUAACUUUGGUUAAGUAUUUC